GUGCCAGCAGCCGCGGUAAAACGUAGGAGCCAAGCGUUAUCCGAAUUCACUGGGCGUAAAGCGUGUGCAGGCGGACCUGUAAGUUUGAUGUGAAAUCUCCUGGCUCAACUGGGAGAGGCCGUUGAAUACUGUAGGUCUAGAGGGCAACAGAGGGAGGUGGAAUUCCCGGUGUAGUGGUGAAAUGCGUAGAUAUCGGGAGGAACACCAGUGGCGAAAGCGGCCUCCUGGGUUGCAUCUGACGCUCAGACACGAAAGCUAGGGGAGCGAACGGGAUUAGAUACCCUCGUAGUCC
rnacentral:rRNA from 1 species